GAAGUUAUAAGGGACCAUUGGAGCAACUAGGAACAAGAGAGGAGGUCAAGUAGUGAAUGAAUGAAACUUGAGGACCAAAAUGAAUUAAACUAGAAGCUAGCUAUACUAUGCGACCGCAUAGUAUAAAACCUAUGCGGUCGCGAGUGAACCUCCAGGGUUGAAAAAGGGCAUUUUUAUUAAACCUAUGCGGUCGCAUAUGUAUAAAUUUUCCCGAAUUUUGCACUUUUCUUAUACGAUUGCAACUCCUUUGGUAACCUAAUUUGGACGGGUUUAAAUAGCAACAAGACGUCCAGAAGCCGCAGGAACGACGAGGGAGAAGAAAUACACUCAAUUUGAAGGCAAGAAACACAAUCUUGGACUUGAUUUCACAAGGAUUCAAGAAGGAAUUGAAGAUUACACACAAAAUUGAAGGAUUAUCAUACGGGUGUAUUCUUUAUAUCUUUUAAUUUCGUUUUAAUUCUUGAUUCUAUAAUUAUGAUCAUAGGCUAGGGUUUUUAU
rnacentral:lncRNA from 1 species